ensembl:snoRNA SNORD31 Small nucleolar RNA SNORD31
GUCUGAGGUGAUGAGUGUCUAUUACCGCCCCAGUCUGAAGAUCCAUGACUGAUUGGUAACCCCUCUGAUCAGGA